UCUGCCAUCCUUAUGUGAAUAUAUUAAUGUUUUUGUUAGACUUUGCCAAAUCAUAUUGGAGGAUGGCAUCCCUUUUAGAAUGCAGACAUUAGAUUGUAAGAAAAUUCCUGUCGGAAUGGAGACCAUAUAUUUUCAGACCUCCAUCGAGCAGGCCAAGUUCACAUAUAUUUUCAGACGAGUAGGUUGUAACUGUGGCAUCAGUUGGUGAUUCACGCUGCAUACUAGAGUCCGCUGACGGUUCACUGUACCAUUUGUCAGCUGAUCUUCGCUUUGACUCCAACAGAGAUGAGGUAGAACGCGUCACUGCAUGUGGAAGCAAGGUUGGGCAAACUGAAUGUUGUUGGUGGUCCAGAGGAGUUUGCCAAUGACGCUGCCGGCGGCAGAAGUUCGGAGAUACGUGCAUACGGAGUUCGCAGAUGGGCUGUGUGGUGCUUUCGAUGAUGUUGUCUGUGUUUGUCAUGUGCACGCCGGCACCGCUAGUCCCGUCGUUGGCUAGGCAGGGCACUGCUCGACUCUGUGGACCUUCUCUGGGUCCAGCAGAGCAAGCACUUGUUGCAGGUGGGUACCAGACACACCCUGUCCAGCGGCAGGUAAGAGAGCCACUGUUGUAGCUUCUUGCUGUUAUUAUUAUUAACACUGCAAAUGUCUCAGUGCUCCUACUAAUUUGUGGUUGAUGCUUUGUUGAGAGAUCAUUGAUGUUGAUUGUCUGCUAUUUAAUAGAGAAACUAAUAGAAAAUGUUUGUCUAGAAGUGCACAUAGGAGAAAAUAGGCAGUUCUUUAUAUAUAAACUAAAUAAAAGUUCACUUCAUUUUGUAAGUUUACCUUUUUCUGUCGAAAAAGUUCAUCAUUUUGGGAGUUUCUUUGGUAUU